rnacentral:lncRNA from 12 species
CUGCUUCCUUUUAAGUCAAAGUGAUGUCUCCUUUCCAGCACACAGGAAGAAUGGCUCCCAUCGGUGGUUUUUCACAACUGAGGUUCCUGGGAGUUAAGGUUAGCAUUGUGGGGAGGAUCCCAUCACUCAGUGCCCAUGGAGAGCUGUGCACGAUGCCUGGUGCCCAGUCAUGGGAAACAGCCAGGAGUAAUACCUAUUCAAUAUAUCAUGAAGGGAAAUGGUAAAAUCGACUAUGAGAUACCCAGACUGAGGAUGAAAACUGAGCAAUUUAAAGCAUGAAGAUGACUCAGCGACCUAGGAGACCUACAUUAGGACAUUGUGAAGAUUUUCUUAAGUGACAUAAUUCAAUAAAAAGUCUACUUAAAAAAAAGGCUUAGAGUUU